GACGAACGCUGGCGGCGUGCCUAAUACAUGCAAGUAGAACGCUGAAGGAGGAGCUUGCUUCUCUGGAUGAGUUGCGAACGGGUGAGUAACGCGUAGGUAACCUGCCUGGUAGCGGGGGAUAACUAUUGGAAACGAUAGCUAAUACCGCAUAAGAGUAGAUGUUGCAUGACAUUUGCUUAAAAGGUGCAAUUGCAUCACUACCAGAUGGACCUGCGUUGUAUUAGCUAGUUGGUGGGGUAACGGCUUACCAAGGCGACGAUACAUAGCCGACCUGAGAGGUGAUCGGCCAAACUGGGACUGAGACACGGCCCAGACUCCUACGGGAGGCAGCAGUAGGGAAUCUUCGGCAAUGGACGGAAGUCUGACCGAGCAACGCCGCGUGAGUGAAGAAGGUUUUCGGAUCGUAAAGCUCUGUUGUAAGAGAAGAACGAGUGUGAGAGUGGAAAGUUCACACUGUGACGGUAUCUUACCAGAAAGGGACGGCUAACUACGUG
rnacentral:rRNA from 1 species